GGCCAAUUGUCUUGAAGGUUUUCGAGAUUAUGGUAGUUAGCAGUUAAUAGUGAAGGUUGAAUUUGAAGGCUGUUUAAGGAGAUGAUUCUCCUACAGUGCUUGUUGUAAAACUACCUUCUACAAGAGUUAUUCCAUUUAUUACAGUUAAAUAGUAUAAUUUUGGAUGGGGGAUGUGUAUGCAGGAAUUUCAUAGAGACAGGGAGAGAGACUCAAACUCAAGUGAAAUAAUAUUCAAAUAUUAUGCAGUUAAGAUUUAUAAACAAUAGGGAGUUUUUGAACUCAGGUGAAAAAAAUGGAAGUUAUUGAGUUAUUAUAUAAUCAAGAAUUUUCACCCAUUUCCAAUUUAGUCAACCCUAAAACUUUUGUUGUUGUGGAAAUAGUUAUUACAUUAUCAAUGAAGUUCAGAUGCUCAAAUUUGUUUAUGCCAUUGCUUCUCCUGUUGCAACAUU
rnacentral:misc_RNA from 1 species